AUUGAACGCUGGCGGCAGGCCUAACACAUGCAAGUCGAGCGAGCGGCGGACGGGUGAGUAAUGUAUGGGGAUCUGCCCGAUAGAGGGGGAUAACUACUGGAAACGGUGGCUAAUACCGCAUACUAUCGGAUGAACCCAUAUGGGAUUAGGUAGUUGGUGAGGUAAAGGCUCACCAAGCCGACGAUCUCUAGCUGGUCUGAGAGGAUGACCAGCCACACUGGGACUGAGACACGGCCCAGACGCCUACGGGAGGCAGCAGUGGGGAAUAUGGCGCAAGGGGGGAAACCCUGACGCAGCCAUGCCGCGUGAAUGAAGAAGGCCUUAGGGUUGUAAAGUACUUUCAGCGGGGAGGCGUUACCCGCAGAAGAAGCACCGGCUAACUCCGUGCCAGCAGCCGCGGUAAUUC
rnacentral:rRNA from 1 species